rnacentral:rRNA from 1 species
CAGCCGCCGCGGGAAUACGUAGGUGGCAAGCGUUGUCCGGAAUUAUUGGGCGUAAAGGGCUCGCAGGCGGUUUCUUAAGUCUGAUGUGAAAGCCCCCGGCUCAACCGGGGAGGGUCAUUGGAAACUGGGAAACUUGAGUGCAAAAGAGGAGAGUGGAAUUCCACGUGUAGCGGUGAAAUGCGUAGAGAUGUGGAGGAACACCAGUGGCGAAGGCGACUCUCUGGUCUGUAACUGACGCUGAGGAGCGAAAGCGUGGGGAGCGAACAGGAUUAGAUACCCCUGUAGUCCCUGUCUCUUAUAC